CUGAGAGGGUGAUCGGCCACACUGGGACUGAGACACGGCCCAGACUCCUACGGGAGGCAGCAGUGGGGAAUAUUGGACAAUGGGCGAAAGCCUGAUCCAGCAACGCCGCGUGAGGGAUGACGGCCUUCGGGUUGUAAACCUCUUUCAGUACCGACGAAGCGCUCCUAGGAGUGGUGACGGUAGGUACAGAAGAAGGACCGGCCAACUACGUGCCAGCAGCCGCGGUAAUACGUAGGGUCCGAGCGUUGUCCGGAAUUAUUGGGCGUAAAGGGCUCGUAGGCGGUCUGUCACGUCGGGAGUGAAAACCCAGGGCUUAACUCUGGGCUGGCUUUCGAUACGGGCAGACUAGAGGUAUUCAGGGGAGAACGGAAUUCCUGGUGUAGCGGUGAAAUGCGCAGAUAUCAGGAGGAACACCGGUGGCGAAGGCGGUUCUCUGGGAAUAUCCUGACGCUGAGGAGCGAAAGUGUGGGGAGCGAACAGGAUUAGA
rnacentral:rRNA from 1 species